rnacentral:rRNA from 1 species
GACGAACGCUGGCGGCGUGCUUAACACAUGCAAGUCGAACGAAAAGAGGGAAAGAGCUUGCUCUUUCCGGAAUUGAGUGGCAAACGGGUGAGUAACACGUAAACAACCUGCCUUCAGGAGGGGGACAACAGACGGAAACGACUGCUAAUACCGAAUAAGUUCCAAGAGCCGCAUGGCCCAUGGAAGAAAAUUUGGCCUCUACCUGUAAGCUAUCGCCUGAAGAGGGGUUUGCGUCUGAUUAGCUGGUUGGGGGGGUAACGGCCCACCAACGCGAAGAUCAGAAGCCGGUCUGGGAGGAUGGACGGGCACACUGGGAAUGGGACACGGGCCAGAAUCCCAAGGGGGGGAGCAGUGGGGGAUCUUCCGAAAAGGGGGAAAGGCUGACGGAGCAACGCCGCGUGAGUGAUGAAGGGCUUCGGGGUGUAAAACUCUGUGAGCCGGGACGAAAAGGCAGAGUGAGAAAAACAAACUGGAUUGACGGUACCGUAAAAGAAAGCCACGGCUAACUACGUG